rnacentral:rRNA from 1 species
UACGUAGGGUGCAAGCGUUGUCCGGAAUUAUUGGGCGUAAAGAGCUUGUAGGCGGUUUGUCGCGUCUGCUGUGAAAUCUCAAGGCUCAACCUUGAGCUUGCAGUGGGUACGGGCAGACUAGAGUGUGGUAGGGGAGACUGGAAUUCCUGGUGUAGACGGUGAAAUGCGCAGAUAUCAGGAGGAACACCGAUGGCGAAGGCAGGUC